rnacentral:rRNA from 1 species
GACGAACGCUGGCGGCGUGCUUAACACAUGCAAGUCGAACGGAAAGGCCCUGCUUUUGUGGGGUGCUCGAGUGGCGAACGGGUGAGUAACACGUGAGUAACCUGCCCUUGACUUUGGGAUAACUUCAGUAAACUGGGUCUAAUACCGGAUAGGAGCUCCUGCUGCAUGGUGGGGGUUGGAAAGUUUCGGCGGUUGGGGAUGGACUCGCGGCUUAUCAGCUUGUUGGUGGGGUAGUGGCUUACCAAGGCUUUGACGGGUAGCCGGCCUGAGAGGGUGACCGGCCACAUUGGGACUGAGAUACGGCCCAGACUCCUACGGGAGGCAGCAGUGGGGAAUAUUGCACAAUGGGCGGAAGCCUGAUGCAGCAACGCCGCGUGCGGGAUGACGGCCUUCGGGUUGUAAACCGCUUUCGCCUGUGACGAAGCGUGAGUGACGGUAAUGGGUAAAGAAGCACCGGCUAACUACGUG